rnacentral:lncRNA from 1 species
AAACUGACCCAAAUUGUGUUAAUUUUUGAAAUGUGCUGCUUGUUGGUUGCUGUGGUUAUCUUAGUGUUGCUUGCACUUCAUUACAAGUACGCUGAGGUAGAUUUAACGUUGAAAUAUUACGAAUUAUUCGGCAAGAAAGUUGAGGAACUGCGAGGUCAAGUUGUUUGGAUCACUGGAGCUUCUAGCGGUAUAGGCGAGCACUUGGCUUAUGAACUGGCCAGUGCUGGCUGUAAGCUGGUUCUUUCUGCGAGAAGACAGCAAGAGCUGGAGAGAGUUAAGACAAAAUGCUGUG